rnacentral:misc_RNA from 1 species
AUCAAAUUGUAUUCAAUUAUUUUAUACCAUGUCCUCAUAAGGAAUACACCAAAUACAUGCAAAUUAAUAUAUGUAAAUGGAGUAUGAUUCUGAAUUAUUAAAUAUUUAACAUCACACAAAUACUAAGAUAAUACCAAGAAUAUGAGUCUCCAAUAUAAUUUCUCCAAUUUAUUGUCACAUCAAUUUCAAAUGUUCUUUAAGACGUAUCUCCCAUUAGCUUUCGUAUGUUUGCCAUUGUCAAGCCUGUUGUCAUUUAUGAGCUUACAAAAGAGGGAAUCAACCAAAGUCAAGGACUAUACGUCCAAAGUACAUCUUCCAUUGUCUUAGAGAGGAAGAUCGCUUCAUAUCUAGCAGCGGUGUUAGCUCCAGAAAUCAGAAUGACCUAAACCAAGAUAAAAAAGAGAUUAAAAACGAAAAGGAGGAGGAAGAUAAGGAGGAGCAGUGCCUAUUGAAGCUAUUGAAGAUGUGUAGUGGUACACCACCAUCUGAAUGUUGAUGAUCUAAAUGAGACUACGGAGAAUCAGGAAGGCGGCGCAGAGAAGAAUAUGAAAGAGGAUGGUCAUUCUGAU